rnacentral:rRNA from 1 species
UUCGCUCUUCAACGAGGAAUCCCUAGUAAGCACAAGUCAUCAGCUUGUGCUGAUUACGUCCCUGCCCUUUGUACACACCGCCCGUCGCUACUACCGAUUGAAUGGCUUAGUGAGGCCUUCGGAUUGUUGGUAAAAAACUGUAACAGGUUUUUCUGCCGACGAGAAAGUUGGUCCAACUUGGGUCAUUUUAGAGGGAAGUAAAAAGUUCGUAAACAAAGUUUUCCGUAAGGUGUGAACCCUUGCGGGAAGGGAUCCAUUUACAAAAUCGUUGGGCGAAUUUCCGCCCACUUUUUUUUUCCGUAAAUUUAAAAAACCCCGCUCCUUUAUAAAAAAAAUUAAGGAUAAUUAAAAAAGAUCCCUUUCAAAAACGGAUUUCUUGGCCCCCCCACCGGGAAAAACCUUCGAAAUGCGUAAAGUAGGGGAAUUGCAAAUUCCGGGAACACCAAUUUUGGACCCAAUUGGCCCCCCCGUUUCCCGGAAAA